AACUAACGCUAGCGGCGUGCCUAACACAUGCAAGUCGGACGGUUCUUGCACCUUCAAGCUUGCUUGUUGGUUCAAGGAUAGUGGCGGACGGGUGAGUAACGCGUGAACACCUACCCAUUGGAGGGGUACAACCCGUCGAAAGGCGGGCUAAUACCGCGUAAGCCGUGAGGUGAAAGGCUGCUCUUUGGUGGCUGCCGAUGGAUGGGUUCGCGUCCUAUCAGCUGGUUGGUGGGGUAACGGCCUACCAAGGCUAAGACGGGUAGCCGGUCUGAGAGGAUGGCCGGCCACACUGGAACUGAGACACGGUCCAGACUCCUACGGGAGGCAGCAGUGGGGAAUCUUGGGCAAGUGGGGGAGACCCUGACCCAGCGACGCCGCGUGAGGGAUGAAGGUUUUCGGAUCGUAAACCUCUGUUGUACGGGAAGAAGGAUGUGACGGUACCGUACGAGUAAGCCCCGGCAAACUACGUGCCAGCAGCCGACGGUAAACUCGUCUCA
rnacentral:rRNA from 1 species